rnacentral:rRNA from 1 species
GGCUACAGCCAUCCUACCCUGAACAAGUCCGAUCCCAUCAGAUCUCAGAAGCUAAGUAGGGUCGGGCCUGGUUAGUACUUGGAUGGGAGAUCACCUAGGAAGACCAGGUGAUGUAGGUG